CCAGGCAUAUUCAAAAAUGUUAAAUAGGAUAACAACAUUCAAUUAUUUUAACUUUCUGAUUGUGUUUCUAGAGCUGAAUGUAUACUUAUGUUAAUUUUUUUUCUCUAAUUCGAUCACAUCCUAUUGUCGUCAUUAUCGAAUCUCUGAUUUCAUUUCGUUUGGAUACAUUAUCUUAUCGCAUUAUUGCAUGAUAGAGCGUUCGUGCGUGCGUCGUCUGUUGACAAAUAGCGCAGGAACUGUUUGUAAUGUGUCCAAAUCCGCGUUACGAGCCAUCGGCGCCGCUGUAUUGUUUAUGCCCACAACUACUUCAUCAGUAAUUAGUUAAGCAAUCGUUUUUUCCAUUUAAGCGCAUUCAGCAAGUGACGACCCGCUGCUAGUGUCAGCGUAUUCAACGGGCUCACUUCUUUCGAAAACGUAACCUCAAUCUUGUAGCAUCGUUAUCAUAAACUGCUACCGAAUGCGUAACGAUUGUUCCUUCGGCGCGUGGAACAAUUGAACCGUCGAGGAGAGUUUUAUCAUCGGCUCGUAAAUUAUCGGCACUCGUGGCUUCGGCGGCGUGAGUCAGGUGUCGCAGUAAACAGACACGGGGUCCCCGACGAGCCCGCCCGGCGACCCUUGCAUGGACGGAUCGGCGCGAACAUUCGCGGCACGUCCUUUGUUGGCCGUUUUGUUUUGGAGUACCAUCCGGUUUCUGGUGGUAGGGGGGAGGGGACAGGUGGGCGCAGGUAGCGCGCGCGUCGGCAGUCAGUCCAACACGGCGCGCCGCGCUGCGCGCGCGGCUCGCUCGCGACCGAUUCUCUAUCAAAUAUGGAAAUGGCCGGUCAGGCCGCGACAGGUGUGCGUGCGGCGUUCGUGCACGUGUACUGUUUGUGAGUGCCAGCGCUACCCUCGGCUCCACCUCUCAACUUCACGAUUGUGCAAUGGAACAUGGAAAAAAUGACAAAGGAUUUUUAUAGAUUAAAUGAACGCGUAACUAGUAAGUAGAUAGGCAAAUAGAGCUCCGAUUACUCGCGUCACUGGCCGACGAUUCUGAUGUGAGCAAAUACGUGUAAUCGUGACGCGACGUCACAGGGAAAUUACGGCUUUAUACACAAUUCAUCAAACUUAUUUCACCUAAAGGGUAAGUUAUUCAUAACAUAUAGUCUAUCAAGCCAUUUCCGUCAGUAAAAAAAAACGGCAAAUUUCAAAAAUGUAGGCGCAAAUGGUUAUCGUCCCUUAGAAAAAUUGAAUUUCAUGCCUUUUUCUACUGACAAAGUUAUAUGACCGCCUAUACAUUGGUUGGUAGGUUUUGACUU